GUGUAAUCCUAGCACUUUGGGAGGCCAAGGCAGGCAGAUCACUUGAGGUCAGGAGUUCCAUACCACCCUGGUCAACAUGGUGAAACCCUGUCUCCACUAAAAAUGCAAAAAAAAAAAAAAAAAAAAAAAAAAUUUAACCAGGUGGGUGGCAGGUACUUGUAAUCCCAGCUACUUGGGAGGCUGAGGCAGGAGAAUCACUUGAACCUGGGAAGUGCGGGUUGCAGUGAGCCAAGAUUGUGCCACUGCACUCCAUCGUGGGUGACAGAGUGGGACUCCAUCUCAAGAAAAAAAAAAAAUCUUCACAUUUGAACCCUUAGAUUCAUUAGUCCUUGAAGUCAUUUUCAAUCCUGAACUUUAACAGUGAAAUUCUCUAGUAAGCUAAUUUGACUGGAUUCACUUGUAGCCAAAAAGCAUAAUACAAGACCAAAGGAAAUUGACAAAACACCCAUCAUUUAUGCAAUGUUUACUAUGAGCUAGGCGCAGUGCUUUUUGUGGGGUGACCCACUGAGUACCACUCUGCUUUAUAGAUGAGAAAAUAUGCUUAAGAGGAGGCAGGAGAAUGGCGUGAACCCGGGAGGUGGAGCUUGCAGUGAGCCGAGACAGCGCCAAUGCACUCCAGCCUGGGUGACAGAGCGAGACUCUGUCUCAAAAAAAAAAAAAAAAAAAAGUGCUAAAGUGAGUUGCUAAACGCCAUUCUAGGAAUUAGCAGCAAGCCCAUGCAGUGUUGCUAGGAGUCUUCACUGAAUAGUUACACAUGCAGUGCUUAUUUUAAACAUACUUAAUGAAUCUCCAUUUCCUCACUUUAAAAAGGCAAAACAAUAUGAACAAGUGAAACCUGCUUAGGUGAAGAAAUAAUCGAUAACUGAAUGGCUCGUUGGAAAGCAUGCAGAUUUUCAAAGGGUUUUGAGGGGACUUGUUUUUGUACACUCUAGUUAACGUCUAAUAGAUCUCUCGGUAUGUCCAAAAAGGAACUGAUUUUCCCACGUGGGUCUCCCUCUAUCCAGUCUUCUCCAUCCUCAGACAACUCAAUUCUUAAAGAUGUUAAACUUCUUGACUCACAUCCAUUCUACCAGAAAAUCCUUUUAGUUCUCUGAGACAUGGCAGAAUCCAAUGUCCCUGACUACCCCUCUUCUAUCACUCUAGACCAAGCUGCCAUCAUAAUGCAUGAACCUCUCAAUUGGUUUUCUACUCCCAUCCUUACCCUCUAUACUGUUCUCAACACACAAGCCAGAGGAAAUGUUAAAAGUUGUAGCUCUGAGGCAUUUUAUAGAAAGUUGAUACUCAUACACAUAAAAAGUAGUAGGAACCUAAAAUUCAUCAUACAUUGAUUUCAUUUUUGAGCUUGACGUAGUAAAUCCUUAGCUUCAUUGAUUUGGGUUGCUAUAUAAGGAGAUCCUUCUUUGGGCGAUUUAAGAUCAUAUUUGUUACUGAG
rnacentral:lncRNA from 10 species